UACGGGGGGGGCAAGCGUUGUUCGGAAUUACUGGGCGUAAAGGGCUCGUAGGUGGCCAACUAAGUCAGACGUGAAAUCCCCAGGCUUAACCGGGGAACUGCGUCUGAUACUGGAUGGCUUGAGUUUGGGAGAGGGAUGCGGAAUUCCAGGUGUAGCGGUGAAAUGCGUAGAUAUCUGGAGGAACACCGGUGGCGAAGGCGGCAUCCUGGACCAACACUGACGCUGAGGAGCGAAAGCCAGGGGAGCAAACGGG
rnacentral:rRNA from 1 species